GAUGAACGCUAGCUACAGGCUUAACACAUGCAAGUCGAGGGGAAACGCCAUCCAAAGCUUGCUUUUGAUGGGCGUCGACCGGUGCACGGGUGAGUAAUGCCUAUCCAACCUGCCUACCACUUGGGGAUAACCUUGCGAAAGUAAGACUAAUACCCAAUGAUAUCCCACGAAGACAUCUGAAUGGGAUUACAGAUUUAUCGGUGAUGGAUGGGGAUGCGUCUGAUUAGCUUGUUGGCGGGGUAACGGCCCUCCAAGGCAACGAUCAGUAGGGGUUCUGAGAGGAAGGUCCCCCGCAAUGGAGCUGAGACACAGUCGAAACGCGUACGGGAGGCAGAAGUGAGGAAGAUUAGGAGAGGGGCGAGAGCCAGAACCAGCCGAGUAGCGAGAAAGAAGACGGGCGUAUGGGAUGUAAACUGCUUGGAUAAAAAAAUAAAGUGGGUCACGUGUGACUUGAUGCAUGUACCUUAUGAAUAAGGACCGGCUAAAUCCGUG
rnacentral:rRNA from 1 species